GACAGAGGUGGCAAGCGUUGUUCGGAUUUAUUGGGCGUAAAGAGCGCGUAGGCGGUCCUGUAAGUCGGGGGUGAAAUCCCGGGGCUUAACCCCGGAAUUGCCUCCGAUACUGCUGGACUUGAGUGCGGGAGAGGGUAGUGGAAUUCCCAGUGUAGAGGUGAAAUUCGUAGAUAUUGGGAAGAACACCAGUGGCGAAGGCAGCUACCUGGACCGCAACUGACGCUGAGGCGCGAAAGCGUGGGGAG
rnacentral:rRNA from 1 species